rnacentral:rRNA from 1 species
UACUAGAGUAGCACUCGCAUAUCAAUAAGCGGAGGAAAAGAAACUAACAAGGAUUCCCCUAGUAACGGCGAGUGAAGCGGGAAGAGCUCAAAUUUGAAAUCUUAAAGGGUUUCCCUUUACGAAUUGUAGUUUAAAGAAGUGUUUUCUGUUGAGGUUUUGGUAAAAGUUCUUUGGAAUAGGACAUCAUAGAGGGUGAGAAUCCCGUAUUUGACCUUUACUUUCAACUUUGUGAUACACUUUCAAAGAGUCGGAUUGUUUGGGAAUGCAGUCCAAAAUGGGUGGUAAAUUUCAUCUAAAGCUAAAUAUUGGCGAGAGACCGAUAGCGAACAAGUACCGUGAGGGAAAGAUGAAAAGAACUUUGAAAAGAGAGUUAAACAGUACGUGAAAUUGUCAAAAGGGAAGCGUUUGACACCAGUGUUGUUUUUCUGAAAAUCAAUUAAAGAACUGUUUAUGCUAAGCUGUUUAGACUUUAUCAGCUAUACUGUUUAGUUUUGAGCUUUUCUUUAAUGCACUUUUCAGUUAACAAGUCAACAUCAAUUUCUUUUGCUGUAAAAAAGCUUGAGGAAGGUGGCUUGAGAUUCGUCUUAAGUGUUUAUAGCCUCUUGCCUAUGCAGUCGGAGAGAUUGAGGUCUGCAGCGUAGAUCCUUCGGGGCUAAAUGCAUUUGUGCUAAGUUAUAGCAUUUUAUAGACAACUUGUUGACUAUGAUUUGUCUUGUAGCUUACUCGCUUAUGUUAUUUUACCUACGCUUAGGAUGUUGAGUCAUCACACAUCUCU